CCUACGGGAGGCAGCAGUAGGGAAUCUUCCACAAUGGGCGAAAGCCUGAUGCAGCAACGCCGCGUGGGUGAAGAAGGUCUUCGGAGCGUAAAACCCUUUUGUCAGAGAAGAAAGUGCGUGAGAGUAACUGUUCACGUUUCGACGGUACCUAACAAGAAAGCCACGGCUAACUACGUGCCAGCAGCCGCGGUAAUACGUAGGUGGCAAUCGUUAUCCGGAAUUAAUGGGCGGAAAGGGAACGCGGGCGGUGUGUUAAGUCUGAUGUGAAAGCCUUCGGCUUAACCGGAGUAGUGCAUUGGAAACUGGGCGGCUUGAGUGCAGAAGAGGCAGGUGGAACUCCAUGUGUAGCGGUGAAAUGCGUAGAUAUAUGGAAGAACACCAGUGGCGAAGGCGGCUCUCUGGUCUGUAACUGACGCUGAGGUUCGAAAGCGUGGGUAGCAAACAGGAUUAGAUACCCCUGUAGUC
rnacentral:rRNA from 1 species